rnacentral:rRNA from 1 species
AGAGUUUGAUCAUGGCUCAGGAUGAACGCUAGCGACAGGCUUAACACAUGCAAGUCGAGGGGCAGCGCGAUGGUAGCAAUACCAUUGGCGGCGACCGGCGCACUGGUGAGUAACACGUAUGCGACCUGCCCCGGACAGGGGGAUGAACCCGGGAAACUGGGCCUAAUACCCCAUACGCCGAUUGGAUGCAUGUCCUUUCGGUGAAAGAUCCGUCGGUCCGGGAUGGGCAUGCGGCGCAUUAGCUUGUUGGCGGGGCAACGGCCCACCAAGGCGACGAUGCGUAGGGGUUCUGAGAGGAAGGUCCCCCACACUGGUACUGAGACACGGACCAGACUCCUACGGGAGGCAGCAGUGAGGAAUAUUGGUCAAUGGGCGAUAGCCUGAACCAGCCAAGUCGCGUGCGGGAUGAAGGCCCUCCGGGUCGUAAACCGCUUUAGCCGGGGAGUAACGUGCGGGACGCGUCCCGCAGUGAGAGUACCCGGAGAAUAAGCAUCGGCUAACUCCGUGCCAGCAGCCGCGGUAAUACGGAGGAUGCGAGCGUUAUCCGGAUUUAUUGGGUUUAAAGGGUGCGCAGGCGGCGUGUCAAGUCAGCGGUCAAAAUGCGGCGCUCAACGCCGUACCGCCGUUGAAACUGGCAUGC